rnacentral:ncRNA from 1 species
UCUUUGGAGAGUUUGAUCCUGGCUCAGGACGAACGCUGGCGGCGUGCCUAAUACAUGCAAGUCGAGCGAGGAGCUUUUAGCUCCUAGCGGCGAACGGGUGAGUAACACGUGGGCAACCUGCCCGUAAGACUGGGAUAACUUCGGGAAACCGGAGCUAAUACUGGAUAAUCUUGAUCUUCGCAUGAAGGACAAGUAAAAGAUUUAUCACUUAC